GGGUAAAAGUCGUAACAAGGUCUCCGUAGGUGAACCUGCGGAGGGAUCAUUACAGAGUUCCUGCCCUACCGGGUAGAUCUCCCACCCUAUGUUAUUAUUACUUUGUUGCUUUGGCGGGCCGUUAGGCUCCGGCCCGACUACCGGCCCCGGCUGGUAAGCGCCCGCCAGAGGACCCAAAACCCUGAAUAUUAGUGUCGUCUGAGUACUAUAUAAUAGUUAAAACUUUCAACAACGGAUCUCUUGGUUCUG
rnacentral:misc_RNA from 1 species